rnacentral:rRNA from 1 species
AUUGAACGCUGGCGGCAUGCCUUACACAUGCAAGUCGAGCGCGAAAGGGGGCAACCCCGAGUAGAGCGGCGGACGGGUGAGUAACACAUCGGAACGUGCCCAGUAGUGGGGGACAACCUCGAGAAAUCGAGGCUAAUACCGCAUACGACCCACGGGUGAAGGCGGGGGACCCAAAGGAAACUGAGGGCCUCGCGCUAUUGGAGCGGCCGAUGUCCGAUUAGCUAGUUGGCGGGGUAAGAGCCCACCAAGGCGACGAUCGGUAGCUGGUCUGAGAGGACGACCAGCCACACUGGGACUGAGACACGGCCCAGACUCCUACGGGAGGCAGCAGUGGGGAAUUUUGGACAAUGGGGGCAACCCUGAUCCAGCCAUGCUGCGUGC